AUUGAACGCUGGCGGCAGGCUUAACACAUGCAAGUCGAGCGAGCGGCGGACGGGUGAGUAAUGUCUGGGAAACUGCCUGAUGGAGGGGGAUAACUACUGGAAACGGUAGCUAAUACCGCAUACCAUCAGAUGUGCCCAGAUGGGAUUAGCUAGUAGGUGGGGUAAUGGCGCACCUAGGCGACGAUCCCUAGCUGGUCUGAGAGGAUGACCAGCCACACUGUGACUUGGACACGGGCCAACCUCCUGCGGAGGGCAGCAGUGGGGAAUUUUCCACAAUGGUCGCAAGCCUGAUGGAGCCAUGCCGCGUGUGUGAAGAAGGCCUUCGGGUUGUAAAGCACUUUCAGCGAGGAGGCGUUACUCGCAGAGAAAGCACCGGCUAACUCCGUGCCAGCAGCCGCGGUAAUUC
rnacentral:rRNA from 1 species